CAGGCAGGCGCCGUGGGAGACUGCUGGGAGAGUGCGAGGAUUAAUGUGUCUGGGUUAGGUUAGGAAGCUGCAGCACGGAACUUAAUUUAUCUGAAUUGCGGCCGCAGACGGCGAGGCCCGCUGCUGGCUGGUUUUAGGAGCCGGCUGUUGGGCUUGGCGGGCGGUGUCAGCUCGGGACGGGCUGCCCGGCCUGCGCGAGACCCGCUCGGUGUGUCCCGCAGGUAGCGUGAGGCCGCUCCUCGUCCCUCGCAGCCCCGCGGCCGCCCGGCGCUGGCAGCGGCCUCGCUGUGGGGUCUGACUCCCCCCAGAGGAGCCUGUCCUCUCCGCCGCGGUGUCUCCCGGUUUCUCGGGGCGACAGGCACCCUCCCCCGGUGUGCAGGCUGUCGUGUAGGCUGCGUUAGGCGCCACGGGCUGCUCCCAUCUGUGGGAGGGGAGCCCUGGUACCGAUGGGGGUGUUUUACCUCCCAUCGCACACCCAGCUCGCUUCGGUGUUAAAGUCUUACUUUAAAAAGUUAAACUGGGAAAAAGGUUCUCUAUUCAGCGUCAUUCAACAUCAAGCUUUUGUGGUAAUUGGUAAUGCUACUUGUGAUCAAGUUAAUCUUUUGAAGUCUUUUCCUGAAGCCUCUUGUAGGAAAACGUGUUAUUUCGAAGUGUGCAGCACCUCCAAAAAAGAGGUGAAAUAUGGUCAUUCUCUAGCACAGAAGAUAAUCUUCCAGUACACAAUUCCAGUGAAAGUCAUCCUGCCCCACAGCCAUGCAAAUGUUCUGACAUACAAAUGUUCAUUGCCGCCUAUUACAUUCCUCUGCUGA
ensembl:lncRNA